rnacentral:rRNA from 1 species
CGGACGGGUGAGUAACGCGUGGGUAACCUGCCUCAUACAGGGGGAUAACAGUUAGAAAUGACUGCUAAUACCGCAUAAGCGCACGGAAUCGCAUGGUUUUGUGUGAAAAACUUUGGUGGUAUGAGAUGGACCCGCGUCUGAUUAGCUGGUUGGUGAGGUAACGGCCCACCAAGGCGACGAUCAGUAGCCGGCCUGAGAGGGUGAACGGCCACAUUGGGACUGAGACACGGCCCAAACUCCUACGGAAGGCAGCAG